rnacentral:sRNA from 1 species
AAACGGGAGAUCGGUCUAUGUAAGAGCUAUAUGAGGUUAUGGAUUGUCCAUAACCAUACUUGGUUUGGAUGAUAAGCAGAAUCGCGAAAAAUUUCAUGGUAAUCCUUUAGGGGCUCAAUAAAUAUAAUCGGAUGAUCGGUCUAUGUAAGAGCUAUAUCAGGUUGUGGAUUGUCCAUAGCCAUACUUGUUUUGGAUGAUGGAACAGUUAUUGCGAAAAUUUUCAGAGUAACCCUAUAGGGGCUCAAGAAGUAAAAUCGGAACAUCGGUCUAUGUUAGAGCUAUAUCAGGUUAUGGAUUGUGAAUCCCAUGGCAGCCGAUUGUACGUACAGGAUUGACCCAAUGAAGUUCUUCAUCAACAUGGAUUGUUCACAGAUUCAGCCAAAUCAAACAAAAGUGCACCCAUUAGUGGCUCAAGAAGUGUAAUCGGGAGAAUCGGCUUUUUGGGGGAGGUAAAUCAUGUUUAAGACUGAUUCAGACCAUACUUGGCACCCGAAACGUGAGCUGCAGAUUUGCCAGAAUUCCUAAUGGAGGCCACCGUGGUGCAAGCAUAAGGCAAUUUUAAAAAACAUUGGUGUUUGUUUCACCCUCAUGCCAGCAUGGUCAUCUAAUCAUGAACGAUAAACAUAAAUGUCUGGAAAUUUUGCCAUUUUGUUAAGAACAACAUAGUGUAGCCUGCAGCUGAACAUUAAAUGGCUACAAAAUAUAAAUUUUCAUUUAUAACCUCACAUAAUGCGGCCUUCCAAAGGAUUCGAUCUGGUAUCGAAAUGUAGGUAGGCCCUCUUGUGGGUGUGUAGGCAUGUUUUCGAAUCAAACAGUGGCCUAUCAUGACGGACUCGAUAUGUGAGACUUCUGUCCUAGCCAACGAACUAAUCGCAGGCCUAAUAUCGAAGAAUCAGCUUACAUGGCAUUAGAUGCAUAGGUAGUUAUAAAUCUGCUCUACAAUUUUCCUGGGAGUUUUUAGUUAUCUCGUUGAGCGAUCUGAGAUAGUUAAAGGCGACACGAUAUAGCCAUUGCAAGUUCUUCACAAUACACCCAAAGCCCACAUGGUCGUCCAGUCAGGAACAAUCCAUCUAGAAGUCUAUGUGGAUUCUAUUAACAGGCUUAUUGUAGCUCCAAUAUCAAAAAGGGGUUCAGACCAUGUGUAGUCCUCUUCUGUCUAUAGCUGUUGCUGCUAGACAAAAGAGAAAGCUCCCUUAUCCACAAUGUCCAGAGACAUAAAAUGUAGCAUUAAAUUCAGUGCAUCAGGUGCCCUCAAUUCGGCUGUAAUGCACAAACAAGACAUUCUUUAGAUACAGCUGAGAUUGCUUAAACUUUUGAAGCGUCAUCCACCAGACCACAACACCAUAUAGCAUUAUAGGCAAUUCAUGACACGCGCUUUAAACUCCAGGGGUGUAGGGCAAGAGUAAACUUUUCGCCCUUUCCAAAAUAUUGGAUUUGAAGUUCAAUUUCCCGCCCAGCAAAACACCCAUCGUGGGUUCUUUUUGCCUCCUGCUGAAAAGAUUAAUUUCAGCCUUCGGCGUGUCCUUUUAUUUGGCCUUAAUUAAGCGCACUCUCUGCACAUCGCGCUUUAUAAAGGACGCUCUCCGAAAAUUUACUU